GUCAGGAUAGCUCAGUUGGUAGAGCAGAGGACUG
rnacentral:tRNA from 1 species